GGGGUUGUGGCUCAGUGGCAGAGUGCUUACCUAGCAUGUGUGAGGCACUGGGUUUGAUUCUCAGCACCACA
rnacentral:tRNA from 1 species